AUGAACGCUAGCUACAGGCUUAACACAUGCAAGUCGAGGGGCAGCAUGAACUUAGCUUGCUAAGUUUGAUGGCGACCGGCGCACGGGUGAGUAACACGUAUCCAACCUGCCGAUGACUCGGGGAUAGCCUUUCGAAAGAAAGAUUAAUACCCGAUGGCAUAGUUCUUCCGCAUGGUGGAACUAUUAAAGAAUUUCGGUCAUCGAUGGGGAUGCGUUCCAUUAGGUUGUUGGCGGGGUAACGGCCCACCAAGCCUUCGAUGGAUAGGGGUUCUGAGAGGAAGGUCCCCCACAUUGGAACUGAGACACGGUCCAAACUCCUACGGGAGGCAGCAGUGAGGAAUAUUGGUCAAUGGACGAGAGUCUGAACCAGCCAAGUAGCGUGAAGGAUGACUGCCCUAUGGGUUGUAAACUUCUUUUAUACGGGAAUAAAGUGAGGCACGUGUGCCUUUUUGUAUGUACCGUAUGAAUAAGGAUCGGCUAACUCCGUGCCAGCAGCCGCGGUAAUACGGAGGAUCCGAGCGUUAUCCGGAUUUAUUGGGUUUAAAGGGAGCGUAGGCGGACGCUUAAGUCAGUUGUGAAAGUUUGCGGCUCAACCGUAAAAUUGCAGUUGAUACUGGGUGUCUUGAGUACAGUAGAGGCAGGCGGAAUUCGUGGUGUAGCGGUGAAAUGCUUAGAUAUCACGAAGAACUCCGAUUGCGAAGGCAGCCUGCUGGACUGUAACUGACGCUGAUGCUCGAAAGUGUGGGUAUCAAACAGGAUUAGAUACCCUGGUAGUCCACACAGUAAACGAUGAAUACUCGCUGUUUGCGAUAUACAGUAAGCGGCCAAGCGAAAGCGUUAAGUAUUCCACCUGGGGAGUACGCCGGCAACGGUGAAACUCAAAGGAAUUGACGGGGGCCCGCACAAGCAGUGGAGUAUGUGGUUUAAUUCGAAGCAACGCGAAGAACCUUACCAGGGCUUGACAUAUACAGGAAUAUAUUAGAGAUAGUAUAGCUCUUCGGAGCCUGUAUACAGGUGGUGCAUGGUUGUCGUCAGCUCGUGUCGUGAGAUGUUGGGUUAAGUCCCGCAACGAGCGCAACCCUUAUCGAUAGUUACCAUCAGGUGAUGCUGGGGACUCUGUCGAGACUGCCGUCGUAAGAUGUGAGGAAGGUGGGGAUGACGUCAAAUCAGCACGGCCCUUACGUCCGGGGCUACACACGUGUUACAAUGGGGGGUACAGAAGGCAGCUACACGGCGACGUGAUGCUAAUCCCGAAAGCCUCUCUCAGUUCGGAUUGGAGUCUGCAACCCGACUCCAUGAAGCUGGAUUCGCUAGUAAUCGCGCAUCAGCCACGGCGCGGUGAAUACGUUCCCGGGCCUUGUACACACCGCCCGCCAAGCCAUGAAAGCCGGGGGUACCUGAAGUGCGUAACCGCAAGGAGCGCCCUAGGGUAAAACUGGUGAUUGGGGCU
rnacentral:rRNA from 1 species